AUCCAAGCAUUAAAAAUGACACAACUGGUCUUGUACUACUCAACAUCGUCAAGAGUACCAAAAGACUCUUUCAACACCUUGAGCAUAUUUUCUAGCUGAGCUUCUUCAAAUUUUUGGCUGAACUCAUUGUUCAGGGUAACCCGUAUUAUGCAACGCACCAUGAUGCGGUUGUUGAGCCACUUCAAGUAAGUAUCUUGAACCACACCACGAGCAUUAGGAGCAGGCUCCUCAGGUGCC
rnacentral:lncRNA from 1 species